rnacentral:lncRNA from 1 species
ACGUCUAGAAUAACCCUUAUUUGAUAUUUUGAAAGGAGACUCUAACCCACGUUCUUCUCGUAUUUUGACAGAAGAAGCUAAAUUGGCUUUAAAUAAGGUAGAAGAAGCUAUUAAUAAACAACAAUUGCAAAGAGUAAAUUAUACUCAAACUUGGGAUUUUUUUUAUUUUACCUACUCCUCAUACACCCACAGGAGUAUUAUGGCAGUCAGGUCCUUUAGAAUGGAUACAUAUGCCGGUUACUUCUAAAAAGGUUAUUUGCUCAUACCCUACUGUGAUUGCUUUAUUAAUAAUAAAAGGAAGACAUAGAAGUAGAGAAUUAUUUGGAAAAGAAAUAAAUAAUUUGGUGAUUCCUUAUUCUAGAGAUCAAUUAAAUACACUUAUGGAACAUUCUGGAGAUUGGCAAAUAGCUUUACAGGGAUAUUGUGGUCAUAUUAAAUUUCAUUCGCCAUCUCACCCUUUGUUAUAUUUAGUUAAGAAUCACCCUGUUAUUUUUCCAAAAUUGUUUUUUUCUGAACUUCUACCUCAACCAGCAGCUUUAGUUUUCACUGAUGGCUCCUCAAAUUGAUGAGCAUCUUUAGUUAUUAAUGAUAAAACCUAUGUUCAACAGACAGAAGAAACCUCUGCUCAGAGGGCAGAAAUAAUAGCUGUAAUUAUGGCUUUUACCCAAUUAAAAGAUCAAAUGUUUAACUUAUAUACUGAUUCUCAAUAUAUUGUGAAAAUUUUUCCUCAUAUAGAGACAGCUUCUCUUCCUCAGAAUAAGACUACAAUUUUUCAUCAUUUAAAUUCUUUACAGAAGUUAAUUUUAGAUAGACAACAUCCUUAUUUUAUAGGGCGUAUUCGAGGACAUUCUAACUUACCAGGAGAAUUGUCACAAGGCAAUGCAUUGGCAGAUUCAUUAACUAGACCCCAAAUUCUUACUGUUCAGGAAGCUACAGCUAGUCAUGCUUUACAUCAUCAAAAUGCUUCUGCCCUUUGACAGCAAUUUCAUAUCCCUAGGGAAUCAGCUAGAACUAUUGUCAGAAAUUGUCAAAC